GAGGCUAUAGCUCAGUGGUAGAGUACAUGCUUAGCAUGCACAAAGUCCUGGGGUUCAAUCCCCAGUACCCCUU
rnacentral:tRNA from 1 species